UACGAAGGGGGCUAGCGUUGCUCGGAAUGACUGGGCGUAAAGGGCGCGUAGGCGGAUGGCACAGUCAGAUGUGAAAUUCCUGGGCUUAACCUGGGGGCUGCAUUUGAUACGUGUGAUCUGGAGUGAGGAAGAGGGUUGUGGAAUUCCCAGUGUAGAGGUGAAAUUCGUAGAUAUUGGGAAGAACACCGGUGGCGAAGGCGGCGACCUGGUCCUUAACUGACGCUGAGACACGAAAGCCAGGGGAGCGAACGGG
rnacentral:rRNA from 1 species